GGACGAACGCUGGCGGCGUGCCUAAUACAUGCAAGUCGAGCGGCUUAAGUUUUCUUCGGAAAACUUAGGUAGCGGCGGACGGGUGAGUAACACGUAGGCAACCUGCCUGUAAGAUCGGGAUAACCCACGGAAACGUGAGCUAAUACCGAAUAAGUAAUCCUCUCGCAUGAGRGGGUUAAGAAAGACGGAGCAAUCUGUCACUUACAGAUGGGCCUGCGGCGCAUUAGCUAGUAGGUGAGGUAAUGGCUCACCUAGGCGACGAUGCGUAGCCGACCUGAGAGGGUGAACGGCCACACUGGGACUGAGACACGGCCCAGACUCCUACGGGAGGCAGCAGUAGGGAAUCUUCCGCAAUGGACGAAAGUCUGACGGAGCAACGCCGCGUGAGUGAUGAAGGUUUUCGGAUCGUAAAGCUCUGUUGCCAGGGAAGAACGCUUAGGAGAGUAACUGCUCUUAAGGUGACGGUACCUGAGAAGAAAGCCCCGGCUAACUAC
rnacentral:rRNA from 1 species